UGCAUUUCCUUUCUUUAAUUUUUUUUUUAUCAUUAUUGGACUUUAAAAGAAUAUUUUCUUAAUCGAUUAAUGGUGGAAGAGAUGAAUGCAAGAACAAGAAAGAAAGGAAGGAACAUGAUUUCUGCACUUAAUGGAAGUGGCAUUAAAAAGUACUUCCUGAUAGGAUCUGCUGUCCUUUUACCAAGCCAAGUUCCUGCCAGAUUACUUAGGGGCUGCGUUAUUAUUGCUUCUGGGUCACGAACGGAAGGAGACGGGGAACAAAACACACCCUGGGUUGGAUUUCAUUGUCAUUUCCUUUUUGCUUAAACCAGAAGUCUUGCAAUCAGCCCACUGUGCGAGGACUCGAGGACUGACAACGUUCCCAGUCAUCUGGGCUCGGCGCGCUCCCGGGAUCCCAUCUGUAGGCCUGUUAGAGGACUCGGCAACACAAUAAGGAGCAGCCCUGAGCCCGAUGGCAGGACAGUCUGCAGCCUGUUUCCCCGGCAACCAGGGCUCCAAUCGGCCGGCCAGCUGC